CUUCUUCGGCUUGUUGAGGACAGAUAAAAUGAAUGUGAGUAUCGAUUCCUCCAGCUGUUACGAUCUUGCCUUCGCCUGCCACAACUUCUGUACCGGGACCGAUAACAAUAUCAACAUUAGGCUGGACGUCUGGGUUACCCGCUUUACCUAUUCCGGAUAUACGACCGUCUUUAAUACCGAUAUCCGCUUUUACAAUACCCCAGUGAUCGAUAAUAAGAGCAUUUGUAAUGAGUACAUCAACACAAUGUUCACUGGUGACUUGGCUCUGGCCCAUACCAUCACGAAU
rnacentral:sRNA from 1 species